AGUGAACGCUGGCGGUAGGCCUAACACAUGCAAGUCGAACGGCAGCACAGUAAGAGCUUGCUCUUACGGGUGGCGAGUGGCGGACGGGUGAGGAAUACAUCGGAAUCUACUUUUUCGUGGGGGAUAACGUAGGGAAACUUACGCUAAUACCGCAUACGACCUACGGGUGAAAGCAGGGGAUCUUCGGACCUUGCGCGAUUGAAUGAGCCGAUGUCGGAUUAGCUAGUUGGCGGGGUAAAGGCCCACCAAGGCGACGAUCCGUAGCUGGUCUGAGAAGAUGAUCAGCCACACUGGAACUGAGACACGGUCCAGACUCCUACGGGAGGCAGCAGUGGGGAAUAUUGGACAAUGGGCGCAAGCCUGGUCCAGCCAUACCGCGUGGGUGAAAAAGGCCUUCGGGUUGGAAAGCCCUUUUGUUGGGAAAGAAAAGCAGCAGGUUAAUACCCCGCUGUUCUGACGGUACCCAAAGAAUAAGCACCGGCUAACUUCGUG
rnacentral:rRNA from 1 species